UGAUUUCCUGAGGAUCUUCAUGGCAUAAAUGUGACCAGUGUCCUUUUUCUGAACCAGGCGGACCUAAAUGCAACACAAAAUGAGGAUUUUGGGAGAACCGACUAAGAUUUUCAAUGAAAUCACUAGCAAUAUCACACACAGUGAUUGGAGACAGCACUUACAUGCAUGGAAAAAGGUCUUGGCUGUGACACGUCAAGAUGAAGAACGGUUACAGAAUUAAAGAUAUGAGAGAGAAGGCGAUGAAGAAGGAAGACACAGGAACACCCACACGAACAGGUAACAUGAUGUCAGCACAGCCCCUACCGACACCUUGAAGACUAACCACCAAAGUAUGACACUGUCCUCAACGUGAGCAGCACACACGGGAUCAUCAAUGUACACACCCACAUGCACACUUCAUAACAUACCGGCUUCUGAUAAGGAGAGAAAUGGCAUGGUAAGGAUUUAAUGGAGUUGUAGUGCUUUUUCUUGUCAAUGUCUGGCAUGUGAAAGCAUGUGGGUGGCACUGAGGUCCUUCUGAAGUACACGGUGUGUUGCAACAGCCCACAACACACAGGAGGUAAACCCUUCUGAUGUCUCUGAAUGCUUUUCCUCUUAUAAAUAGCUGCAAUGGAUGCAUUUCUCCUUUUUUUCUGAGGUGCUGGCCUGCAUGCCAUUAUGCAUUAUUCAGAACACAAGGCAA